rnacentral:rRNA from 1 species
AACGAACGCUGGCGGCAGGCCUAACACAUGCAAGUCGAACGAGACCUUCGUGUCUAGUUGCGCACGGGUGCGUAACGCGUGGGAACCUUCCCUUAGGUUCGGAAUAACUCCCCGAAAGGGGUGCUAAUACCGGAUAAUUUCUUCGGACCAAAGAUUUAUCGCCUUUGGAUGGGCCCGCGUUGUAUUAGCUAGUUGGUAGGGUAAAAGCCUACCAAGGCUACGAUCCAUAGCUGGUCUGAGAGGAUGAUCAGCCACACUGGGACUGAGACACGGCCCAGACUCCUACGGGAGGCAGCAGUGGGGAAUAUUGGACAAUGGGCGAAAGCCUGAUCCAGCAAUGCCGCGUGAGUGAUGAAGGCCUUAGGGUUGUACAGCUCUUUUACCCGGGAUGAUAAUGACAGUACCGGGAGAAUAAGCACCGGCUAACUCCGUG